CUCUUCACAGCUCUCUCAUAGGAAGGAUGGAUUCGGGAAACCUGCAGCACUGACCUCACCGACCCCACAGGAGAGUGAGUUACUGCAGCACACAGUUUUAUUCUCUUCUGGGCUCCUGGGUAGACCACUCCACUGGCCAGCUGGAAGAGUCCCCUAUACUUCUCCAGCCUGGGAAACCUAAUAGCUAGUAUUCGGACAUUUUUUUUUUCAUUAUAAUUCAGAUUAUCAACAAUUCCAUAACUGUGGCAUUCCCUUGUCAAAAUACAGGUGUUUUUGUCAAGUAUUUUAAGUCUAGUGGGGCAUGGUUGUACAUGCCUGUCAUCCCAGCAACUUGGGAGGCUGAGGCAGGAGGAUGGCAAGUUUGAGGCCAAAGUCAGUAAUUUAGCAAGGCCUUAAGCAACAUAGUAAAAACCUGCCCCGAAAUGAAAAAUAAAGGACUAGCAAUGUGGCUCAAUGGUUAAGCACCACUAAAUUCAACCCGAUUAAAAAAAAAAAAUGGAAUUUAAAAUACUUAGGGAAAAUAUCACACACAUACUAGAUGCAUGAGCAAACGGCCUCAUCAUAUUCAACAAAACAAAGUUGUAGGCCAAAGAGUCACUUGGCAUUGAAAAAUCAUGUGGAUAUCCCUGAAGAUUAGAUCACAUUGGGAUUAUGACUAUGUAUGUGGUGCUCCUCCU
rnacentral:lncRNA from 1 species